UACAGAGGUCUCAAGCGUUGUUCGGAUUCAUUGGGCGUAAAGGGUGCGUAGGCGGCGCGGUAAGUCGGGUGUGAAAACUCGGGGCUCAACCCCGAGCGUGCACCCGAUACUGCCGGGCUUGAGGCAGGUAGGGGAGAUCGGAAUUCCUGGUGUAGCGGUGAAAUGCGCAGAUAUCAGGAGGAACACCGGUGGCGAAGGCGGAUCUCUGGGCCUGUCCUGACGCUGAGGCGCGAAAGCUAGGGGAGCGAACAGG
rnacentral:rRNA from 1 species